rnacentral:rRNA from 1 species
GACGAACGCUGGCGGCGUGCCUAAUACAUGCAAGUAGAACGCUGAAGCUUGGUGCUUGCACCGAGCGGAUGAGUUGCGAACGGGUGAGUAACGCGUAGGUAACCUGCCUGGUAGCGGGGGAUAACUAUUGGAAACGAUAGCUAAUACCGCAUAAGAGUAGAUGUUGCAUGACAUUUGCUUAAAAGGUGCAAUUGCAUCACUACCAGAUGGACCUGCGUUGUAUUAGCUAGUUGGUGAGGUAACGGCUCACCAAGGCAACGAUACAUAGCCGACCUGAGAGGGUGAUCGGCCACACUGGGACUGAGACACGGCCCAGACUCCUACGGGAGGCAGCAGUAGGGAAUCUUCGGCAAUGGACGGAAGUCUGACCGAGCAACGCCGCGCGAGUGAAGAAGGUUUUCGGAUCGUAAAGCUCUGUUGUAAGAGAAGAACGAGUGUGAGAGUGGAAAGUUCACACUGUGACGGUAUCUUACCAGAAAGGGACGGCUAACUACGUG